GCCACGCACCACCAAGAAGAGCAACCAUCCGGAAAUAGCUGAGAUUGGAAGAGAUCUCUGGAGGUUCAAGACUUCACUCAGACAAGGUGACCUAGAGCCAUCUGCUCAGGACCACACCUAAACAGCUUCUGAAUAUCUGCAGGGAUGGAGAUUAUAAGCUUAGAAGCAUUUAUUUCAUUGUGUAAAUGCACAAAGAACCUUGUUUUACCCAAGCCAUCCUUCUGACAGGAAACAAAUUCCAUUGAUAAUGGAUAGAUCCACUGUGUAAUGGAAGAUCAAAUAAGUCUGCAGGUACUAUCUAGGCGAUUGGUGAUAUUGAGUUCUCUCACAAAACAACAACCAUUUGUUUCACUACACAAGUGAGCAAUAAAUCUUCAAGCUUAAAGGAAUUCUUUCUCUUCUUUCCUUUUUCUUUUAUUUUCUGAUGUCUUCCCAUACCCCACACCUUGUCAGUGGCACUGGGCCUUGAAACAGGAUUAUCAAGUCUGAGGGGUCCUUCUCUUCUGUUAUGCCCAAGAACUGCACAGUCAACUUUCUGUUCGCCUUAUCCCAUCACAAAGGGCAACGGGGGUGGUGAACUGAAAAUUUUGCAUGGGUCGUAUCAGUGUUCUUUUGGGCAGAGGAACAACUAAACCAGUUUCACUUCAUCUACCUUUCCACUCUUCCCUUGGGGAAAAUACAAUUCAUUGCAGUGAAUCAAGAUUAGAAGGAGUUAAAAUACAGGGUUGCCUGAAUAGACCUCUCCCUAAUCUCCAGUAUUUAGAGAUUCUUUCAAGUUGGUGAUGCCUACCUAUCUGCUAUCAUACACUUGUAGAGUUUGGGAUAUUUUGUUAUCUAGUCAACUGGUUAACUUCCCUGGUUGUGGGUUUUUUUGUUUGUUUGUUUUUCUUUUUUUUCUUCUUUUUUAAAAUUAAAGCAUAUUAACUUCCAUACAAUUUUCCUUCAACUAGCAAGGCAUCUUCACCAUAUACACAGCAAAGUACUUUUUGAAAGCUAUUGUGGAUUCCCCAGAACAUUUUCAUUUUUCUGUCAGGAUCAGUUAUGCCCCUGUUCCAGCACUAGCUGAAAUAAUGAGGAGAGAUCUCUACAGGCUUCAACAGACUGAGAAUGAAACCUCUAAUUUCCUGAAUGAGGCCUUUUUAAGAAGCGCAUCACAGUGAGCUGCCCUGUAGUAUGAGUGGAUUCUGACUGGAGAAAGUGAAAUGGAAUGUUCCUCUUACAGACCAGAAGCCUUCUGUUCUCACCUCCAGCAGAGAGGCCUAUCACUGAGGGAGGCAAAGCCGUGUGUGAACUUUCUAGGUGAUCUUGUCUUGUGUUACACCUUUGUUUGCCCCAUACUUAAUUCUUCAUUGAAAAUACAGUACAAGUUUAACAGCCCCAAAUAAAUGUACUUGCUCAAUCUGAUGGCUGAAAACCCUAUUAAUAAAGAAAAAGUAGUAAG
ensembl:lncRNA